UACGUAGGCGGAAAAUUAAGUCAGUAGUGAAAUCCUGCAGCUCAACUGUAGAACUGUUAUUGAUACUGGUUUUCUUGAAUGUAGUUGAGGUAGGCGGAAUGUGUAAUGUAGCGGUGAAAUGCUUAGAUAUUACACAGAACACCGGUUGCGAAGGCAGCUUACUAAGCUACGAUUGACGCUGAGGUACGAAAGCGUGGGGAGCGAACAGGAUUAGAUACCCUGGUAGUCC
rnacentral:rRNA from 1 species